GGUGGCUCAUUGGUAGAGCGCUUGCCUUGCAUGCAUAAGGCCCUGGGUUCGAUUCCUCAGCACCA
rnacentral:tRNA from 1 species